rnacentral:snRNA from 1 species
GGAUGUAAGAGUAAUCUAGUUGGGACAUCUGUUACCCCAUUUAUCACCAGAGUUGAGUCAGAUGAUUUGUCUGGCUUGGGAUAUUGCCUUAGCCCCUAACUCCAUGUGUGUCCUUCUCAAAGCUGCACCACCUCAAAUAAGUAGAUUCUCCAGAAUAGAGACAAACUGCUAAAGAAUAUACAAUUAUUUAAGCUCCCUGCUAAAACUUCUAAACCAAAACAUACCCACCCAAAGAAAUCUAUGCAUACUAUGUUCAUAGCAGCACAGUUUGUAAUA